AUUGAACGCUGGCGGCAGGCGUAAGAACUGCAAGUCGAACGAGUGGCGGACGGGUGAGUAAUGUCUGGGAAACUGCCUGAUGGAGGGGGAUAACUACUGGAAACGGUAGCUAAUACCGCAUACCCUCGGAUGUGACCAGAUGGGAUUAGCUAGUAGGUGGGGUAAAGGCUCUACUAGGCGACGAUCCCUAGAUGGCCUGAGAGGAUGACCAGCCACGCUGGAACUAGGACACGUUCCCGACUCCUACGGGAGGCAGCAUUGGGGAUUAUUGCAAAAUGGUCGCAAGCCUGAUGCAGCCAUGCCGCGUGUAUGAAGAAGGCCUUCGGGUUGUAAAGUACUUUCAGCGGGGAGGCGUUACCCGCAGAAGAAGCACCGGCUAACUCCGUCCCAGCAGCCGCGGUAAUUC
rnacentral:rRNA from 1 species